CUCCGUCUCACUAUUAAGUGACCUAGUGUAUAACUCACUUAAUAGUGGGACGGAGGGAGUAUUUCCAUCUCCCUCUGUUCUAUCAUGUUCUCUUUCUCACUUUACUCUUUUCCUUUAUUUUUCUCAGGUGGAUGAAAAUAAUAGCAGAGAUGGAAGGGAAUCCUCCAGGUAGUGAGGUAUUUGACUAGAGGUGAUUCUGGUGUUGAUGAAAUCAUGGUUUGCCGAUUCUUUUGACGAGAUUCAGUUUGAGUUUUCCAUGGGGUGAUAUUGAGUAUCAUCAGGAGACUUUGGAGGAUUUUAAGACGGCUGUUAAGAGUACUAAGAAGCUAUGUGCUUUCACUUGCUUCAGGUUAUGCUAGACCCUGAAUUGCAAGUUGUUGAUAAAAGUGAAAGAUGGAUUGCACUAAAGGCUGAAUCAUCAGUUGUUUUGACUCAGGAUCAAGAUAAAGAAGCAACUUCAGAUCUAUUGCCAGGCAAUUAUGAUGGAAUAGCAAAGGCAGUAAAGAAAGGAGACUGUACUAGCUGUGUUCGGAACCUUGUGACAAGUUAUGGAACCUGGGGAGAAAGGCAGCUCACACCAAGAUGAAACUCCAUUCAUUCUCUCGCAGCUCAGAGUAUAGGUUUAGACCAUAUGGAUGUGGAGGGUUUGAAGAGGCUUAACAAGAACAAGAAAUUGGUCGAGAAGCUUGAUAAGAAAUACCAUGCUUUUCUUGCAUCUGAAGCUGUUAUGUACAGGAAAAUUUCCAACUCUUGUUACCCAUCAGGAGUCUCUGGAGUCGAAGGUUAAUGAAACCAAGGCCAUGGUCAAGUUUCAAUUAAAGAAGGUACUCUGCAUGGGUGUUGCAGUAGGGAACCUUGGAAUGGAGGAGAAACAAAUCUUCCAGAAUGUGCAACUGAGUGUUAACUUCCUCGUUUCCACCAUACUUAAUAUUGCUAUGCUUUGACUUAAAAGUUCAAGUACCCAAUUAAUAAUAUGCGACAGUGUUAACAAGGUACCCAA